CGGCCGUAGAAGUCGAUUUUAGAGGUUGUGGUCUUGAACCGUGGCUUCUGGAGCUAACGCGUUAAAUCGACCGCCUGGGGAGUACGGCCGCAAGGUUAAAACUCAAAUGAAUUGACGGGGGCCCGCACAAGCGGUGGAGCAUGUGGUUUAAUUCGAUGCAACGCGAAGAACCUUACCUACUCUUGACAUCCAGCGAAUCCUUUAGAGAUAGAGGAGUGCCUUCGGGAACGCUGAGACAGGUGCUGCAUGGCUGUCGUCAGCUCGUGUUGUGAAAUGUUGGGUUAAGUCCCGCAACGAGCGCAACCCUUAUCCUUUGUUGCCAGCACGUAAUGGUGGGAACUCAAAGGAGACUGCCGGUGAUAAACCGGAGGAAGGUGGGGAUGACGUCAAGUCAUCAUGGCCCUUACGAGUAGGGCUACACACGUGCUACAAUGGCAGAUACAAAGAGAAGCGACCUCGCGAGAGCAAGCGGAACUCAUAAAGUCUGUCGUAGUCCGGAUUGGAGUCUGCAACUCGACUCCAUGAAGUCGGAAUCGCUAGUAAUCGUAGAUCAGAAUGCUACGGUGAAUACGUUCCCGGGCCUUGUACACACCGCCCGUCACACCAUGGGAGUGGGUUGCAAAAGAAGUAGGUAGCUUAACCUUCGGGAGGGCGCUUACCACUUUGUGAUUCAUGACUGGGGUGAAGUCGUACAGGGAAACCCCGAAAAAAAGACCUCCUCCCUCUCUUUUCCUUAUCCAACUUUUGGCUCCCGGUCCCCGGGCCCCCCUCCCCCGCCCCCGGUGUUCCCCCCCACACCUCGCCCGCUCCCCCCGUCCCCCCCAAGCAAAUCCACCCCCCGCCUUCACCACACCUCUCCCCCCCCUUUUUGUCACGUCCUCACCCCUCCUAUUACUCUCGGGCGUUCUUAAAUAAAAAAUAACAUAAAUGGUCCCCCGACGCUCCUUUAUUUGCCCCGAAUACUUCCUCCAUAACCCCCCUCCCCCCCCCCCCUAUUUACUCGGCCCCCCGCCCGGCC
rnacentral:rRNA from 1 species